ensembl:lncRNA
AGAAGAUUGUUUAUUUUUUUUGCAUGAGGAAGUCGAGAAGGAAAUGGUGACUGUGCUUGAAUCUGAAAAUGCCGCAAGUGACGUGUGAUAAUGAGUGGAAAAUAGUGUAAUCAAAGAAUGGAACAAAACGAGCAAAGAUUGUAGUGGAAGACAAGGACUGGACCAAUAAUGUAUUUCUUAUUGGACAAGGAGAUUCAAUUGGGAAAUCCAUUUGUAAUAUCGAGGACUGUGAAGGAACUAGUGGGAAAAGUGGAUUCAAUCAAGAGCAGGGCGCCUACCAAAGGAGUUAUAGCUGGAGUCUCGUUGGAUACAGAUGAUGAGUACCUUAGUCAGAAAAUCUCAGGAGUGGUCAGUGCACUUCGCUUGACCCGUAUAUGGUGAAUGGAAGGAAGGAGAAAAGCCUGUUGAUAUUAUUGUUCUUUGAGGAGACUGGAUAUGUGAGGUAUGCGGUCAGAGCAUUUGUGUCCAAACCAUUACAAUGUGGAAAUUGUAAAGGAUAUGGUCACGUAUCAAAUGUUUGCAGACAGAAGUAUGAUAUUG